rnacentral:rRNA from 1 species
CAGUAGCCGCGGUAAUACGUAGGUGGCGAGCGUUGUCCGGAAUCAUUGGGCGUAAAGCGAGCGCAGGCGGUUAGAUAAGUCUGAAGUUAAAGGCUGUGGCUUAACCAUAGUACGCUUUGGAAACUGUUUAACUUGAGUGCAGAAGAGGAGAGUGGAAUUCCUCGUGUAGCGGUGAAAUGCGUAGAGAUGUGGAGGAACACCAGUGGCAAAGGCGACUCUCUGGUCUGUAACUGACGCUGAGGAGCGAAAGCGUGGGGAGCGAACAGGAUUAGAUACCCCCGUAGUCCCUGUCUCUUAUACC